AUUAAAUUAUUUUUAUAUAAUUUUUAUUUAAUUAAUAAUUAGACUUAUAAAACUAUAUAAUUUUUUUUUUUUGAGAGAUAUAGCACGCUACUCGCUUCGUUUAUUUCAUUUAGAAAUAAACUUAGCUGAAAAUGUGAAUCAACUAGGAUUCGAACUUGGGUCUCGGGUACCAACCACCAAGCCCUUUGUCACUUGUUCUGGGGACGGUCAGUAAAAAACUAUAUAAAAAUAUUAAAAAAAUAAAAUUUAUUAUAAAAAUAUUUUUAUAUCCGCAGCAUCGCGCGGAUAUUUCACUAGUCACACAUUAUGCGACUACUGAAGUUCAACACCCUAGACCAUAUGGAGUAGAGCUAGAAUACUCCCAAAAGCACUAAUGGGUCGGUGCUGCUUUUGAGUUUUUAGUCCUUGGAUGGAGAGAUGUAGGGUUGAGAUGAUGGUAGUAGGUGGUGGUAGAUGGAAUAGUGUUUGAUCCAAAGGGUAUUAGUAAUUGGGGAGUAGAUCCAAAGGCUAGAAAUUUAGAAGCACCAGUGAGUUGGUGCUUCUAAAAGUAUUCUAGCUCUACUCGACUAUAUGCCACGUGAGUCUCAAGAGAAUAA
rnacentral:lncRNA from 1 species